AUUGAACGCUGGCGGCAGGCUUAACACAUGCAAGUCGAACGAGUGGCGGACGGGUGAGUAAUGCUUGGGAAUCUAGCUUAUGGAGGGGGAUAACUACGGGAAACUGUAGCUAAUCCCGCGUACCAUAGUAUGAGCCCAAGUGGGGUUAGGUAGUUGGUGGGGUAAAGGCUCACCAAGCCGACGAUCUCUAGCUGGUCUGAGAGGAUGACCAGGCCAAAUGGGACUGGGGAACGGGCCAGACCUCUAAGGGAGGCAGCAGGGGGGAAACUUGCGAAAUGGGGGAAAGUCGACGGAGGAACGGCGGGGGGGUGGUGACGGGCUUCGGGGUGUAAAGCUCGUUAAGCGGGAAGACGGUACCGGAAGAGAAAGCAACGGCUAACUACGUGCCAGCAGCCGCGGUAAUUC
rnacentral:rRNA from 1 species